rnacentral:lncRNA from 1 species
GGCUGGUGGCUCAUGGGCCCAGGUCCAUUGUGAUGACAGUGGGUUUCUGGAAAACUCUGCAGGGCUCCCAGGAUGACUCAUCAGCCUCUUGUCAGACGUCAUUUCUUCCUCAGCCGCUUUUGGAGCAGAUCCCCUCCUCUUACUGCUUGACAAGCUGAAGUGGUUUACUGGGUUUUGGACAAGGGGAAGUGGAAGUGCUUGGGUAGUGUUUGUGGGGACAGGGCAGGGAGAUGCGAGAUGUCUUGGGCACUUGGGUAAUUAUGAGCAGAGGCUUAGUUUUCCAUUUGCCAAGAGAGUUUUCUCUCUCUCUCUCUUAGGCAAACAUGCGUGAAUGGGGAAGAACUAUCUGGAGGACAGCAGUAGUUAGAUAGUAAAGGCAGACACACUGGGCCUGUAACUCAGAGCAGUUCGAUUUCUGGGUGCAGCUAGUGGGUGCUCCUGACAGAGGUUUUGAACAAUACAGGACUAAGGAGAGGUUGGCAAAGCACCUUUGAGAAGGGGAUUGAUUUCCAGCUAGGCUGCUUAGU